rnacentral:rRNA from 1 species
AUGUUGAGGAAACUUUUGAGGGGCUCUUCUAGCCAAAGCUCCCAGGAAAAACAAGCCAAAGAGAAGGAAAAAGCCAAAUAUAAUCUUCCUCGCUUAGCGGAAGUACAGUCGUGUGAAUGGCCAUGCGAGGAUUUCUUGAAAGAGGCUGGAAUUCAUGAAGACUUUCAUGCUUUAAUCGAGACUGCAGGCGUCACCGGGUUCAUCAACGACCGAAUCGAUCAGUAUCCCUUACUCACCAAUACCUUCGUGCAAAAAUUUUAUUUUUAUCCUAAGAAGUCACCGCCUGCAAUAUCAUUUCAUUUAUAUGAUGAGUUCAAAGAAAUGUCUUUACGUCAUUUUUGCGCGGUAUGUAGGAUACCUUAUGUGGGAGAAUUAGAGGAACCCCAUCGUGAAGAUGUGGCGGGCUUUGUUAAUACUAUCACCAUAGAGGAGCCAAAGAAGGGUUUCGAGGCAAAAGUCUCUAGCAUACACUUUCCUGUUUUAUGCUACUUUGCCAUAUUUGCUAGUAGAUGCUUGAUUGGUCGUGGAAAUAGUGGAAACUUGAGCGUUCCUGAUAUUAUCAUUCUUUUUUUCUUGGAGACAAUACUUUUAGUUUGGGUGCCGUUGUUGCUAAACGGCUAG